AUUGCAGUGGCCAAAGGGUAAGGCAUUGGUCUUGUAAACUGAAGAGCAUGGGUUCAAACCUUUUCUGUACCA